rnacentral:rRNA from 1 species
AUUGAACGCUGGCGGCAGGCCUAACACAUGCAAGUCGAACGAGUGGCGGACGGGUGAGUAAUGUCUGGGAAACUGCCCGAUGGAGGGGGGUAACUACUGGAAACGGUAGCUAAUACCGCAUACCAUCGGAGGUGCCCAGAGGGGAUUAGCUGGUUGGUGGGGUAACGGCUCACCUAGGCGACGAUCCCUAGCUGGGCUGAGAGGAUGACCAGCCACACUGGAACUGAGACACGGUCCAGACUCCUACGGGAGGCAGCAGUGGGGAAUAUUGCACAAUGGGCGCAAGCCUGAUGCAGCCAGGCCGCGUGUAUGAAGAAGGCCUUCGGGUUGUAAAGUUCUUUCAGCGAGGAGGCGUUACUCGCAGAAGAAGCACCGGCUAACUCCGUGCCAGCAGCCGCGGUAAUAC